UCGGGCAUUUUCUCCUGUGCCCAGAUUCCCUCCCUUCCCAUCUGCCCCAUCCAUUGCUCACUCCUCUUCUCCCCCUGCCCCACGCUCCCUCUUCGCUAUCCCUUUUAAGUCUCCCUCCUCUUACCACCCUCAGCCUUUCCCUAAUCAUCACCUUUCUUUCUCUUACUGCCUCCUCCCUCUUUCCACCCUACCCUCCCAUAGGUUUUCUAUUAUCGAAGACGUGGGAUUUGCUGUGUCUUUGAUCCUUUGUUAACCAAAGCCCCCUCCAAGUCCCUUCUGCGGCACCCACUACUGACCUCCUGGGUGCUUCCUCAGGCAGGUACUGUUCCUGGAGAACGAGCUCCCUUCUAGCUUUCUAGGCACCUUCCAGAUAGCCCUGGCAAAAAGAUGUGAAAUUGUGAUGUAGAAAGCAGGCUGAAAUCCUCCCGGGUUCCUUGCCUCACCACAUGAACCCACACAAUCACACCUCUUUUCUUUUGAACAAUGCCUUGCCAGGCCUUUUGUAAACACCAGCACACAAACGUGUUCCUGCCUUGGGCAAAGCACCUCGGUUUACCGUAUGUCUCAAUCCUCUUCCAUUUUCCCCUAUGUUUUUUAGCACCAUUUCCCCAUAAGGUUAGCAUGCUGAUUGACUGACAGCACGGGAAGCUAGAUGCUCCCCAUGAGGAAAAUGAAAUGACUGUACAGAAUUUGGACAUGCUUUUACGGUAACUUUAUUACUAAUAGUGUUUGCUCCCCUUUUGACCAUAUUCAGCAACAUCUAGGACACAUACCAGACUCUUCCAUCCUGUUUCAGGAAGUUAAAACACAAACUAACGUUCUCAAAGCACCAGACGACCAGAGAUCCCAUACAACAACCUGUUAAGGCAGAGUUCUUGCUUUCUUUUGCAGUACUUUAUGAAGUUGAUUAGGAUUUGUAUUUUUCUGUGUGCAUGCUUAAAGCAAAGUCUUGAAAGAGGCAAGGGAAGAUCUCUUGCGCAGCUGAAUAUGUUUUUAAGAAGAUGCAUGAGGGAAUUGACACAUAAAAGUGAGAGCAAUAAGAGACAAAAACAGAUGGGCUGAUGGAGUUGGCUGAGCAGACAAUUCAAGCACUUUGGGUUUUAUAUAUAUUCGAAAGAACGCUGCUGAGAUGCAAGUAAAAGUGGGUUUCAUACCAGAUCUUGAAACUGAUUGGGGCUUGGAGCACUGAAAAAGGCAAUGGUGAUACACCAUGAAAAAGUCUAGUAUCAGAGCUGGUGUACAUAGCAAGACAAAGGAAGGAGAUGCAAAUACAUGGACUUUUACAGGUCUUCCAAUCUUACAAGACAGUCAGCAAAGCUGGAUGUGUGCUCCAGCCUCAGACCCACCAGCGUGAACGGUAUCGGACCAACUCAUGCAGCACAGGACUAUGCUAAAACAUGGACUGUGAACUGCAGCAGUUUAAGUACGGACUCAUGUCUUUGCGUGCCAGCCCCACAGCAGGGUGGAGCACAUAGGGGCUAUUUUAAAUCAACUUAACUGGAUUUGCAGGAGGACAUUUGUCAGAACACCAAAUCUCUGCAGGAGCCCUACACAACCAGUUGACCAAAAAACCUUUACUGUUACUGUCAUUUCCUCCUAAACAUGAGACUUAUAAUAAAUUUCACAGACCAGAUCCUCGGGUAAUGCAAAUGACCAAGGUUCCAUCACUCCUGGUGCAGAUGUCCCUAUUUACUUCAGCUGAGGAUUGGCCUUACUAUGUUUUUAUUCCAGUUUAUUUUUUAUGAUCUUCACUUGCUGUGUCUUCAUCUGGUGUGUUUAUGUGGCUGGUGCUUGGUUUUCAUUAUUUUUAACUGCAUUUCAGAUUAUUUGCUCUAUGGUUUUGUUCACAUUCUCCUUUUCCACGAAAUUCUAAUAAAACACUUGGCUACAGAUUUCCCAAAUUGAA